rnacentral:tmRNA from 1 species
GGCCGACCGGCAUCGACCGGACAGGGAAUGUGUGUCGUGGCGCGUCGCGGCGAAUGCAACCGCGUUAUCAAGCGUUCACACUUAUAACUGCCGAACCGCAGUUUGCUAUGGCCGCCUAAUAAAGUGGCCUGAGCGUCGUCCGACGCCCGAUGGGGUGACGCUCAAUGACAUCGGGCUGGCCGAAAGGCGGCGUCUCAGCGCCGAUCGGCGAGAACUUUCUGAGGCUGGCGCGCUGAGCAGGGUGUCCUGCUCGGCUCAGCGAGCGAGAUGAAAUCAGCGACUACACGCGUAGAAGCGGCACGCGGACUGUUCCGACACGGGGGUUCGAUUCCCCCCGGCUCCAC